CAGCCACACAGAGUCAUGGACGUACUGUCAAUGCCCGGUGGGUGGACUCUUCUGCGCAAACUCCCGGCUCGCAAGUGUUGGCUCGAGACUCUGUGGUGGAGAUUGUAAACCACCGUCCUCCGUUUUUUGCCCAGAGCCUGAGGUUCUACAGUCUUCGUCUUUGAAAUGAAAAAAUGAUACCUACAUCCAAGAGAAGAAGAAGUGUGAUUAUUAGUACGAGGAUGUUUGGAACUCUGAAGGUAUCUGUUUGCCGCUCACUCACAUCUCUAGCCCCAAUCCCAUUGCUUGGGUUUCUUUAGUUGAGAUACUAGGGUUAGGAAAGGGAAGCUGUGGGGACCUGGAAGGACAGCAUGGGGUGAGCAAACCACAGUGAUACAGGUGUAUAUUAUGUCCUAGCAGAACUCGUUAUUCUAUCCGCUAGAAUAAUUAUUUAAAAGGGGCAAAUAUCUAUCCAUUGCUCCCCACUAGGUUCUGAGCCACUCUCGAUGUUGUAGGACACUUAAUGUUUGGUUCUUACAUGUGCUAAUUCACUUCCUGUCUGAAAGAGAAAAAGCAUACUUAAAACAGAUACUUAUCCUGAACAAUUGACUAUGAACAAUAUGGAGCUUUAAUCGCUGCUUUGCCAAUAGGAUAAUUUUUUUGUUUUU